rnacentral:lncRNA from 1 species
CUAUCUCAAAUGUAGUGGCAUUCUGAGGUGCUGGGAGUUAACGCUUCAACAAAUGAAUUUGAGGAGGAAAAGGACACAGUUCAGCCCAUAGCAGAACAAUUUAUCUGAAAGAAAUUACCUGCUUCUUGAAAAUGUGAAAGCUGUAAAGUUGCCCAGGUGAGCGUGGUUCUGGCAGUCUCUGGUGUCUGGAGAGAAAAAGGUAGGAUCUAAACAACUUCCAACCAACCCUGAGGGGGUCAGAGAGGUAUAAUCAGCAGUAGGACUGUCGUAAAUCACAAUGAAGUAAAUGAUAACACAACCAUAGGCUUACCAUGCCUUGCAAAUAAG